rnacentral:rRNA from 1 species
GACGAAGGGGGCUAGCGUUGCUCGGAAUUACUGGGCGUAAAGCGCGUGUAGGCGGUUUUCCAAGUUGGGUGUGAAAGCCUUGGGCUUAACCCAAGAAAUGCGCUCAGUACUGGAAGACUAGAGGACCGGAGAGGAUAGUGGAAUUCCCAGUGUAGUGGUGAAAUACGUAGAGAUUGGGAAGAACACCAGUGGCGAAGGCGGCUAUCUGGACGGUUUCUGACGCUAAGACGCGAAAGCGUGGGGAGCAAACAGG